rfam:Gorilla gorilla gorilla genomic chromosome, chr5, whole genome shotgun sequence
GCUGGGCGUGGUGGUGCUCACCUGUAGUCCCAGCUACUCGGGAAGCUGAGAUGGGAGGAUGGCUUGAGCCUGGGAGGUCUAGGCUGCAGCGAGCCAAGAUUGUGCCACUGCACCCCAGCCUGGGCAACAGAGCAAGACCCUGCCUCAA